GUUAAGCGACUAAGCGUACACGGUGGAUGCCCUGGCAGUCAGAGGCGAUGAAGGACGUGCUAAUCUGCGAUAAGCGUCGGUAAGGUGAUAUGAACCGUUAUAACCGGCGAUUUCCGAAUGGGGAAACCCAGUGUGUUUCGACACACUAUCAUUAACUGAAUCCAUAGGUUAAUGAGGCGAACCGGGGGAACUGAAACAUCUAAGUACCCCGAGGAAAAGAAAUCAACCGAGAUUCCCCCAGUAGCGGCGAGCGAACGGGGAGCAGCCCAGAGCCUGAAUCAGUGUGUGUGUUAGUGGAAGCGUCUGGAAAGGCGCGCGAUACAGGGUGACAGCCCCGUACACAAAAAUGCACAUGCUGUGAGCUC
rnacentral:rRNA from 1 species